rnacentral:miRNA from 1 species
UAAAAGAGCCGUCUUGCAAAAU